rnacentral:rRNA from 2 species
GGGUUGUGAGGUUAAGCGACUAAGCGUACACGGUGGAUGCCCUGGCAGUCAGAGGCGAUGAAGGGCGUGCUAAUCUGCGAUAAGCGCCGGUAAGGUGAUAUGAACCGUUAUAACCGGCGAUACCCGAAUGGGGAAACCCAGUGUGAUUCGUCACACUAUCAUUACGUGAAUACAUAGCGUAAUGAAGCGAACCGGGGGAACUGAAACAUCUAAGUACCCCGAGGAAAAGAAAUCAACCGAGAUUCCCCCAGUAGCGGCGAGCGAACGGGGAGGAGCCCAGAGCCUGAAUCAGCAUGUGUGUUAGUGGAAGCGUCUGGAAAGGCGCGCGAUACAGGGUGACAGCCCCGUACACAAAAGCGCAUGUGUUGUGAGCUCGAUGAGUAGGGCGGGACACGUGGUAUCCUGUCUGAAUAUGGGGGGACCAUCCUCCAAGGCUAAAUACUCCUGACUGACCGAUAGUGAACCAGUACCGUGAGGGAAAGGCGAAAAGAACCCCGGCGAGGGGAGUGAAAAAGAACCUGAAACCGUGUACGUACAAGCAGUGGGAGCACCCUUUGGGGUGUGACUGCGUACCUUUUGUAUAAUGGGUCAGCGACUUAUAUUCUGUAGCAAGGUUAACCGAAUAGGGGAGCCGGAGGGAAACCGAGUCUUAAUUGGGCGUUAAGUUGCAGGGUAUAGACCCGAAACCCGGUGAUCUAGCCAUGGGCAGGUUGAAGGUUGGGUAACACUAACUGGAGGACCGAACCGACUAAUGUUGAAAAAUUAGCGGAUGACCUGUGGCUGGGGGUGAAAGGCCAAUCAAACCGGGAGAUAGCUGGUUCUCCCCGAAAGCUAUUUAGGUAGCGCCUCGUGAAUUCAUCUCCGGGGGUAGAGCACUGUUUCGGCUAGGGGGCCAUCCCGGCUUACCAACCCGAUGCAAACUGCGAAUACCGGAGAAUGUUAUCACGGGAGACACACGGCGGGUGCUAACGUCCGUCGUGAAGAGGGAAACAACCCAGACCGCCAGCUAAGGUCCCAAAGUCAUGGUUAAGUGGGAAACGAUGUGGGAAGGCCCAGACAGCCAGGAUGUUGGCUUAGAAGCAGCCAUCAUUUAAAGAAAGCGUAAUAGCUCACUGGUCGAGUCGGCCUGCGCGGAAGAUGUAACGGGGCUAAACUAUGCACCGAAGCUGCGGCAGCGA